CCCGCACGCAUGAACAAGCGAGGCCUCCAGGGUGCCCUUGAGCGAGAACCACUCGCACGCAUGACUCGCACAACAUAUCCCAUCGCUGCCGCCCUCGCACUCACAUCAAGCCACCGCUGAUCCCUGUGCUACCUCGAUGGGAGCCAUCGCAAACCCAUCCCUUCGCCGCCGCCCUGCGCCACGAAAGUCUCCACCAGCACCGCGACGGGCGUGGCCUCCACACGCGCCGUCACCGCCCCUCCAGAUUUGGUCGUCGUCAAGGGCGUAUCCAUCCAACAGCGUCACCUCCCCUCCAGAUCCGACCGUUGUCAAGGCUGUAUCCAUCCAGCAGUGCGCCGUCAUCCCAAUCAUCACCGUCCACGGCGUCAUCGCCCAGGCCUAGUCUGGGGCCGGCAAGACGUCCAUGAUCUCCCUCUUUGUCUGCCAGGUUAUCGAGACCAACGUCCACGAGGUGUAGGCAUUAGCGACGACAUGGACAGGGGCUUCACUGACAGGAAGAACUUGCUCAUGGACCGCAGGACCAUGGCUCCCAAGAUCGACGACCUCAGUUUCUUACUCGAGGUACCGACCCUGAGGUCCUUCUUGGUGCCACAUGUGAUUUGUGGGCUGCACUUUUGAAUUUGGUAUGAUGAACUGGACUUUGUAAAUGAGCACAUACAUACACUGAACUCCAGAUAAAUGGCAGCUGAAUUUCAAGUA